UUUUUUCAUUUUUUUUU
rnacentral:sRNA from 1 species